CCUACGGGUGGCAGCAGUGAGGAAUAUUGGUCAAUGGGCGAGAGCCUGAACCAGCCAAGUCGCGUGAGGGAGUACUGCCCUAUGGGUUGUAAACCUCUUUUGUCGGGGAGCAAAAGCCGGACGUGUCCGGCUGUGAGAGUACCCGAAGAAAAAGCAUCGGCUAACUACGUGCCAGCAGCCGCGGUAAUACGGAGGAUGCGAGCGUUAUCCGGAUUUUAUGGGUUUAAAGGGUGCGCCGGGGGAUUGUUAAGUCAGCGGGAAAAUCGUGGGGCUCAACCCCAUCCAGCCGUUGAAACUGGGGAUCUAGAGUGUGCGAGAGGUAUGCGGAAUGCGUGGUGUAGCGGUGAAAUGCAUAGAUAUCACGCAGAACCCCGAUUGCGAAGGCAGCAUACCGGUGCACAACUGACGCUCAGGCACGAAAGCGUGGGUAUCGAACAGGAUUAGAUACCCGAGUAGUC
rnacentral:rRNA from 1 species